ACGAGCUCAAGUACCAUUGGAAAUUGGCUCAGAGAUUUCGGUACUUUACACAGAGACUGAAACUGGUAUGCGUAUAUGGUAUUUUUUUGGUGUGCGAACUUUGCGCGCAGUUUGCGGUUCACGUGUGCCAGGGUCACCUUCGCCUUCACCUUCAAACUUCUGCACAGAGCGAUCAAUCAGAGUCGUUGGAGGAGGGAAUUGUGCGAUCAUUCGCCUUACGCAUGAAGCGAUAGGUGAUUCAAAGAGCAAAAGAGAUAGCGGCAGAGUGACUCAAAUGACAUCAUUCCAAAGUUCAAACUCGCCACAAGAUUCGCUUUUAUGGUUGAUCAUCGAUUGUUGAGAGAACUCUGUAGUUGAGGCUGCACUGAGGUAUGCAGAGGGGUUCAAGGGUAUGCUGUAGUUAUCGAAAA
rnacentral:lncRNA from 1 species